CUUUGUUCCUUUUGUUUAGCAUUGUCUUGGCUAUACUGGCUCUUUAUUGGUUCCGUAUGAAUUUUGAAGUAGUUUUUUCUAAUUCUGUGAAGACUAUCAAUGGUAGUUACAUGGGAAUAGCAUUUGAUUCUAUAAAUUACUUUGGGCAGUGUGGCCAUUUCCAUGAUAUUGAUUCUUCCUAUCCAUGAGCAUAGAAUAUAAUUUCCCUUAGAACUUGGUGCUGUUGCACCAUUCUGUCUUACAUAAGUGUUGCUAAAGAGAAAUAUGGUAUCAGUCUGAUUCUCAGGAGUUUCUAAGGAGUUUCUUUUUUCUUUCUCUUGAAGCUUUUUAAUCCUUUAUUAUUCUUGGUCUUCUGGAGUUUCAGAAACAUGUGUUGACAUGGGAGUUAUUUUUCAUUUAUUCUGCUCAAUUUGUAAUACGGUCUUUCAGUGCAAUGACUUAUGCUUCUCUCUAGCUCUGGGAAGUCACUCUUCCAUUAUUUCUUUACAAUUCUUCUAUUAUUUCUUCACCCCUAUUUUAUGUCCUUUUUUCCUUGGAGCACCUUCACUGAAACUUAAUGCCUCUUUUCUGUCAUCUCCUUAACUCCGUCACUUGGAAAAUACAAUUUCCUGACAUUAUUUUCUAGGCAUCCUAAUUAAAUAUUUUUGGCAAUCUUUUUCUUCUUUUCCCAACAACUUGUUCUUAUUAUCUCUUCUUCUUUUUUUUUAAAUAGUAUCCAAUUCUUUUAAAAAUUAAAUCUAACAUUUAUUUUAACAUUUUAGGAUAAACAUUGAAAUUUUUGAGUUCUCUUUUGUCCCCUGAUGGUAGAUAAGUCUUUUUCCUGGCAAGGAAGGUUGUUUGUGUAUCAUUGCCCCUGUUUCUGGCAGGGUUUGAUUCAAGGUGAAUGGGAGACAACCAUUGACUCAUCACCUUCUCUCAUCCACUGCAGCCCCUUCCCCAUUGCCAAGGUUGUCUGUGCUAUAAUCCAUGGCUCCAGCAAUCACCCUAGAAGCCUCAGCUCCUUUCUGCUGUUCAUAUGUGUGUUUUUACCUGGGUUCAAUGUCAGGCCAAAUAUUAGCUGCCUCCUAUUUGUUCCCCACCCCUGCUGACUGUGACCCUGUUCCUCUCCAGAAUUCUGAGCUAUAGCUCCUGUCACUCUAAGUGGUAAUAAGGUGCCAUUUUUCUUUCUUUAUCUUCCAGAAAUUUUUUGGGUAUCUUUUGACCACUGAUGACCGCCUUCUCAUGGUCCAUGUUUCAAGGUAGAUUUCUUCCCAUUUAUGCUUCUGCUGUCAUUUCAGGGUCUUAGGAGAGAACACAAGACCAAUGUGUGUGCCCAGCCCACCAUCUAGGAUGCAAAGUCUCAUCAUGACAUGAACUGCUGUCUGUAUUGUAAAAGUACAAGGAAGAUGACAGUCAAUGAUAGAGGUAGAAGGAAAGAGGUGGAAAGUGGCAUGUGGGCUGGGUCUUGAAGUGCGAUUGGCACUAUGAAGGGCAGGGGCAGGUUAGAUGAGGGUAGACUGGGGACUCCAGUGGCACUAUGAAUAACAGUGGGACACCAGCACAGGCUUGCUGGAACAGAGGAGGCACAAGCAGCAACAAUCUUGUUCCCUCAACAUUGUUCUCUCAUCUGAGUACUCUGCAGUUCUGACUGAGCUUCUCCCUGAGAGUAGGCACAGCCCUAAGUCUUAGAGCGGAAUCCCUGAUGGCUGAGCACCAAUGCAUCUGAAGCCUGAAGCCUUCCUUGAGCCUCCUCCAGCCUGCAAGUACCCUGGCAGCAGAGUAGGAAUGAUAAAACAUGCUCUAAACAAGGUGAGGAAAUCCAACAAUAAUUUGUGAUAGCACAUCUGGUGUCAUAGGUAGCUCUGUACUUGCAGUGUAAACAUGGUGGGAGGCUAUUUGCAAAUAUGUACAAGUCUUGUCAAAGGAGUGUUUGUACAGAAUAAAUGGAGAUAAGUGCCUCUAGAAAUAGUGCUUUUUCAAUAACAACUAUUAUUGAUCAUCUAAAAGUUUUAGACACUUUGUGGCACAUAAUUAUCACAAUGCUAUGAUAGGUGAUGCUAUUACCAUUUUACAUACCAAAUCCCCAGGUCCAAAACAAUUUAUCUAAAGCACAAGAUCAUGCACCAGUAAUGGACAGAGGCAGGACCUGAGCUCAUGCCUGCCUCCUUUUCACUCAUCUCUCUCAGUGCUUUGCACCACCACCCACACCCACCUCUUCUAUGAGUCUUGCUUGCCUAUACUUUCUCUGUUUCUCUGUAGUAGUCGAGGUUCUGAUAUUGGAAGUAGUAGAGGAAAGUGGGACCUGGCUGAUUUGUGUAGUGCUGUGGCAACCAGGGGCAGCCAAGUCUAGAAAGCCUGGCAGCUGCAAACAGGCUCUGCUUCAGUGCUGUGAGAGGACUUGGAUGGAGUGCCUCUUGGAAGCUUGUUCUUGGAGUGAACUCCAGUGAACCCCUGCAUAGUCUUGACCUCAUCCCAUAUCCUCUCUCAUCCCUAAUCCUCUGGCUCAGAGAAGGGAGGCACUGAACAGGCUGCCAUGUGAAAUGCAAAGAGAAAGGGAAAGAUGCACUAAGAAAAACAAAUACUGAGAAAGAUUCACAGCAGCACCUUCCCCAUCCCCAAUUAAGUUAAGCCUUACUUCUUUAAGGACAAAAAUACACACACACACACACACACACACACACACACACACACAGAGUAUAUGCAGCUCUACUACACUGCACUUUCCACAUUGCAUUGCAGUUAAUUCACUAGUUUAACUAAUGUUUAUUGAGCAUCUGUUGUAUGCCAGAUGCUGUUCUAGGCUCUAAAGAUGUACAGUGGGCAAAACAAAUACAAAUUCUUGUCCUUGUGGAAACAAUAGCCAGUUGAACAAUGAGAUGGGAAUAUCAAAUGUGAUUUUAUAUGAUGACAAAAAGUCUAUGUUAAGUAAUACCAUAAACAAAGGAAAAUACUAAAAGAGUACACACAAAUUGCACUCCAUAUGCCACAUAAAGAUCUAUGUGUGAAAUAACACUUGCCAACUUACUUCAUGCCACAACACAUAUAAAAGUAGAGAAUAUGAGCUCUGCAUCGUGUGGAUGAAUGGGGUAAAUGGAUGGGACUGCAUGCAUCCUUAGCGACAAGGCCUGAGGGAUGGUGCCUCAGGCCGUCCAGGCUGCCGGAGGAGUAUUCACUACACUUCAGCGUCCUUAUGACCCAUGUGUGACACAUACCCAUUGAGUACUAUUAGAUGAGACGGCAUAAUAUACUAAAAGCUCCUACAAAUGGAAAAAAAUGAUAAACCAUUUAAUACAACUUAUGGGAACAUAUGCUGAAUACGUGAUUUGCAGGACUUACAGAGAAAACACCAAAGCCUGACAACAGUAUGAAAAUAUGCUCAACCUCACUAAUAGAGAAAUGCAAACAAAACCAUUUCUUCUGCUUGUUCUUUUGCCAAAUAUCAUCACCUAGUGCUGGAGAUACUGGGGAAAUGGGCACUCUUAGAUCUUCCUGGGGAAAUGUAAGUUCAGUAUUUCUGGAAAACAGUCUGGUCUGAUGUAUUAGAACUAAAAAUAUGCCUACUGUAUACAGGGACAGUCAUUACAGCCAUGUUUGUAAUGGGAAAGAACUGGGAAGAACCUAAAUACUCACUGAUUAAAGACUUGUAAAAUAAUGAUACGCCCAAGUAUUGAGAUCCUGUGCAGUUGUGAAAACAUCAUGACGCAUUCCCUUUAUACUGAAGCGGAAAGGGUAUCAAGAUGUAAUGUCAAAGGACAAAAGCCAAACAUGGACCUCUGUGUGUGUCCAGUGCCAAGCGGCCCACUCAUGUCUGAAGAUGUUACAAGCUUUUGGAAUUCCAGAGGAUCCCACAAGAGUGGAAGGAGAUUGUGCCUGUGUCCCCCUCAGCCAAGAGCUCCGUAAGGGAAGGACUGGCCCUUGAUCAAUGUCUGAGGUGUGGAUGGAUUCACCCCAAAGGAGGAUGCAGGUCCAGGAUGCUAAAUUCAAACCAGAGCAAAUCUGCUUCGGGAAACUGGUUCUGAAUGAGAAGCUCAACAUGGCCAUGUGCACACCUGCUAUGUGCACAGAUAGCAAAUAAUAAGCCUGUUUUCCAAACCAGCCAGGGAAGCAGUGAGGAGAGGCUGCCUCAUGUCAGCCACAUGGAGCUACACUCCUUCACUCCCUCUCAGCAACCCUGAAAGCCAGGACCUUCUUCUGAUGGGGGGGGCAACUUAUCGGACAAUACAUGAGGCCUGUGCUGGGUAUGAGGGGAGAUAUUUUAUAGUUUUCUUUUUCCCUAUGCAUUUUAACAUUGAUGAAAUGUUUCACUUUUAGGUUUAGUACUUUUGACAUGGUUCAGGAAAAGCAUACCGUUUCUGAAGUGAGACAGACCUAGGUGAAAGAUCUCCCUCUGCUUCUAACUUGUCCUUCUCCCACCCUCCUUUCUCUUGUUCCUGUUUCUCCCCCAAGGCAGACCUAGAAACUAGAAUUCUCCUUCCCUAAAGCAAGCCAUAAAACCUAGAAAUACUACUCUGACCUUCCUCUGCCUUUCUGUGUAGGAGCUGGCUAUAAAGAAAUUCUCUGACCUACUUUGUUUGAAAGUAGAUCAUAAGACCCUCAUUCCAGAGGUCCUGCCCUACACCCAGGGGAAAGGAAUGCCACACAGAGAGGCCAAGAAGAAUCUGAAAGACAGGUCUAGCUAGGUUUUCCCCGCUUCAGUCUCUCACCAUUAGAUCAUACCCUUUGGUCCAACCACAUUUCUACAUGGCCGUCUGUUCUCCAUCAAACCUAAGCACAAAAAUAGACAGUUGUUCCUGAGUCUUUGGAUCUUCAUUUCUGAAGGCUCCCAUGUCAUGUAAAACUUUUAUUCAAUAAAUUUGUGUGCUUU
rnacentral:lncRNA from 10 species